rnacentral:rRNA from 1 species
AGCAGCCGCGGUAAUUCCAGCUCCAAUAGCGUAUAUUAAAGUUGUUGCAGUUAAAAAGCUCGUAGUUGAACCUCAGGCCAGGUCAGGCGGUCCGCCCUCUGGGCGUGUACUGCCGCGAUUUGGCCUAACCUUCUGGCGACCUGGUCGGUUUAGCCGGCCAGUUAGCCAGGACUUUUACUUUGAAAAAAU